rnacentral:rRNA from 1 species
GGGCGAGCCUGAUCCAGCCAUGCCGCGUGUGUGAAGAAGGUCUUCGGAUUGUAAAGCACUUUAAGUUGGGAGGAAGGGCAGUUACCUAAUACGUGAUUGUUUUGACGUUACCGACAGAAUAAGCACCGGCUAACUCUGUGCCAGCAGCCGCGGUAAUAA